AUUGAUGUGUAAACACUCUAUAUUCUAGCUAAUGUAAUCAGCAGUUACACACAGAUCCUAUCAACCACCAGAGGACAAGAGAUGCACUUUAGAGGCAGAUCAGAUGUACUCACCUGGACACCACAAUGCCCAUGGUUUUGGAUGGGAGUCAUUCGGGACCGAAGCUCUCUCUCUCUCUUCUAUGGGCCCAAAGGUCCUUAUUUUAGCGGGUUGCCGGGGUAAUGCGGGACAGUGAAGUGCUCUACAUGAGCAGGGGGUGAGCUGGCCAUGACAGGUCAGAGUGUCACACGCAGACACUUGUGAAUGAAAGUCAAAUAACAAAAUGCAUAUAUAUUUUUAAUAUAAUACAAAUAGUUUAUUUAUCUAAACAAACCA